UACGGGGGGGGCAAGCGUUGUUCGGAAUUACUGGGCGUAAAGGGUUCGUAGGUGGCUCGCUUAGUCAGACGUGAAAUCCCUCGGCUUAACCGGGGAACUGCGUCUGAUACUGGCGAGCUUGAGUGCAGGAGAGGAACGCGGAAUUCCAGGUGUAGCGGUGAAAUGCGUAGAUAUCUGGAGGAACACCUGUGGUGUAGACAGCUUACUGGACCAUAACUGACGCUGAGGCACGAAAGCGUGGGUAGCAAACAGG
rnacentral:rRNA from 1 species